rnacentral:rRNA from 1 species
UACGUAGGGGGCAAGCGUUGUCCGGAUUUAUUGGGCGUAAAGAGCGUGUAGGCGGCCAGACAGGUCCGUUGUGAAAACUCGAGGCUCAACCUCGAGACGCCGAUGGAAACCGUUUGGCUAGAGUCCGGAAGAGGAGAGUGGAAUUCCUGGUGUAGCGGUGAAAUGCGCAGAUAUCAGGAGGAACACCGGUGGCGAAGGCGGGUCUCUGGGCCGAUAUUGACGCUGAGGAGCGAAAGCGUGGGGAGCGAACAGG